GUUGUAGGUUUUUGUCAGCGACCACAUAACCCAAUUGACGCCUAAUGUUUUGAUUUCUCUUAACAAAUUAUUGUGUCAAUGUGCUGAGGUAAGCGACGCGGG